rnacentral:rRNA from 1 species
GACGAACGCUGGCGGCGUGCUUAACACAUGCAAGUCGAACGGAAAGGCCCUGCUUUUGUGGGGUGCUCGAGUGGCGAACGGGUGAGUAACACGUGAGUAACCUGCCCUUGACUUUGGGAUAACUUCAGGAAACUGGGGCUACUACCGGAUAGGAGCUCCUGCUUCAUGGUUGGGGUUGGAAAGUUUCGGCGGUUGGGGAUGGACUCGCGGCUUAUCAGCUUGUUGGUGGGGUAGUGGCUUACCAAGGCUUUGACGGGUAGCCGGCCUGAGAGGGUGACCGGCCACAUUGGGACUGAGAUACGGCCCAGACUCCUACGGGAGGCAGCAGUGGGGAAUAUUGCACAAUGGGCGGAAGCCUGAUGCAGCAACGCCGCGUGCGGGAUGACGGCCUUCGGGUUGUAAACCGCUUUCGCCUGUGACGAAGCGUGAGUGACGGUAAUGGGUAAAGAAGCACCGGCUAACUACGUG